rnacentral:pre_miRNA from 1 species
AGCACAUUUUCUGAAUCAUGUGAUAAGAAGGUGUUUAACUUUGUAGGAAAUUGCCAAACUGUCUUCCAAAGUAGCUGUAACAUUUUGCAUUUCUACUGGCAAU